CCUACGGGUGGCAGCAGUGAGGAAUAUUGGUCAAUGGGCGAGAGCCUGAACCAGCCAAGUCGCGUGAAGGAUGACGGCCCUACGGGUUGUAAACUUCUUUUGUCAGGGAGCAAUUGGGUACACGCGUGGGCUUAGCGAGAGUACCUGAAGAAAAAGCAUCGGCUAACUCCGUGCCAGCAGCCGCGGUAAUACGGAGGAUGCGAGCGUUAUCCGGAUUUAUGGGGUUUAAAGGGUGCGUAGGCGGAAUAUCAAGUCAGGGGUCAAAAUUCGGGGCUCAACCCCGUCGUGCCGUUGAAACUGAUGUUCUUGAGAGGGCGAGAAGUAUGCGGAAUGCGUGGUGUAGCGGUGAAAGGCAUAGAUAUCACGCAGAACUCCGAUUGCGAAGGCAGCAUACCGGCGCCCAACUGACGCUGAAGCACGAAAGCGUGGGUAUCGAACAGGAUUAGAUACCCGGGUAGUC
rnacentral:rRNA from 1 species